rnacentral:rRNA from 1 species
UACAGAGGUCUCAAGCGUUGUUCGGAAUUACUGGGCGUAAAGGGCUCGUAGGCGGCCAACUAAGUCAGACGUGAAAUCCCUCAGCUUAACUGGGGAACUGCGUCUGAUACUGGAUGGCUUGGAUUCGGGAGAGGAAUGCGGAAUUCCAGGUGUAGCGGUGAAAUGCGUAGAUAUCUGGAGGAACACCGGUGGCGAAGGCGGCAUUCUGGACCGAUAUUGACGCUGAGGAGCGAAAGCCAGGGGAGCAAACGGG